AGUUCCUAAGUUUAUGGCUCAGAGUUCAGGAUUACCAGCUCUGCUAGCACCAUCUGAUCAUACUGGAAAGGAGAGAUCAGGUUCCCCUGGAGUCACUGCUGUCUAGGCAACUCAUUUUCCAUCUUGAUGGUUCAAACUCUGUGUAUGGUGGUAGGUGCUUAAGAGCACCUUCUUCAGUACCUACUGCGGAAUUGUGUUAGAAAUGCUCAAAUUCAUAUUUUUCUAAACUGGACAUAAUAGAUAGUGGGUUCUCUGUGAUAAUGAUGAAACAAAUGAGGAUUAGAGAUUGGGCCUCACUGAUAUAGACAAGGAGAAAGAUUGAUUUUGCCUAUCUAUUUAAAAUGGAAAUAUAAAAAUGCUUACCUAAACCUGAAUAUGAUUAUUUUGUUUUUCUAAAGUUAAUUUUAUUUCACAAGUACUAUAUAACAUAUAUUCCUAAAUGAAUUAAUAAGUAAAGUCUCCUUUAAUACACUGAUUCCAAUAUUAGGACUUGUUACCCAAUAAACCAAUAUUAUUAGAUUAGUGCUCACUCUUCCUGGUCAUUUCCUAUGUAAGUACAAAUAUCCCAGUAUUGACAGUUCAUUGGAAUUUGAGUCAUGAAAAUUUCAAAUCUACCUUAAAAAUGAAUACUUUCACAUUGUAUGUGAAUUUUAAGACAAUUUCAAAAUAUUUUAUAAAUAUCUGAUAUCACAAAGGUUAAAAUUCACAUGCUUGGUGAAUUAUAAAUUGAGUUUAUUUCUGCUUGGUGUGGUACUAAGGAGAAAAAUUAUCAUGGCUGUAUCCUAAAAAUAAAUUGUCCUGUUAUUUACCUGCUUUUUAGAUUUCUAAGAUGGUUUAUUGACUUUGGUUUUUAUUUAAUAUCCAGUGUUGUAAUUUAAAAUUACAUAAGAAUGUCACCCAGGUGUUCAUAGGUUAGAUAGGAUACCCAGGGACUGAGAAGAAAUGUACUCUGAUACACUGUUUCAUUGUUUUAUUGAAAUUAAAUGCUUAUAAAAAUAUAAAGCCACAUUAAAAAUAUGUGGGAGUUGUCUGAAUUUAUGUUGUAUAAGAAUACAUCCUCUGGGGGCUGGGACUGUGGUAGAAUGCUUCACUGGGUUCGAUUUUCA
rnacentral:lncRNA from 1 species